AUAGGGGCGAAAGACUAAUCG
rnacentral:ncRNA from 3 species